AUACGGAGGGUGCAAGCGUUAUUCGGAAUCACUGGGCGUAAAGGACGCGUAGGCGGGUUGGCAAGUCAGAUGUGAAAUCCUACAGCUUAACUGUAGAACUGCAUUUGAAUCUGCUAACCUAGAGUAUGGGAGGGGGAGAUGGAAUUAGUGGUGUAGGGGUAAAAUCCGUAGAUAUCACUAGGAAUACCGAAAGCGAAGGCGAUCUCCUGGAACAUAACUGACGCUAAGGCGUGAAAGCGUGGGGAGCAAACAGGAUUAGAAACCCUAGUAGUCC
rnacentral:rRNA from 1 species